rnacentral:piRNA from 1 species
UGGUGCACUAUAUUGAUG